UUAAGCGACUAAGCGUACACGGUGGAUGCCCUGGCAGUCAGAGGCGAUGAAGGACGUGCUAAUCUGCGAUAAGCGUCGGUAAGGUGAUAUGAACCGUUAUAACCGGCGAUUUCCGAAUGGGGAAACCCAGUGUGAUUCGUCACACUAUCAUUAACUGAAUCCAUAGGUUAAUGAGGCGAACCGGGGGAACUGAAACAUCUAAGUACCCCGAGGAAAAGAAAUCAACCGAGAUUCCCCCAGUAGCGGCGAGCGAACGGGGAGCAGCCCAGAGCCUGAAUCAGUGUGUGUGUUAGUGGAAGCGUCUGGAAAGGCGUGCGAUACAGGGUGACAGCCCCGUACACAAAAAUGCACAUGCUGUGAGCUCGAUGAGUAGGGCGGGACACGUGGUAUCCUGUCUGAAUAUGGGGGGACCAUCCUCCAAGGCUAAAUACUCCUGACUGACCGAUAGUGAACCAGUACCGUGAGGGAAAGGCGAAAAGAACCCCGGCGAGGGGAGUGAAAAAGAACCUGAAACCGUGUACGUACAAGCAGUGGGAGCACGCUUAGGCGUGUGACUGCGUACCUUUUGUAUAAUGGGUCAGCGACUUAUAUUCUGUAGCAAGGUUAACCGAAUAGGGGAGCCGAAGGGAAACCGAGUCUUAACUGGGCGUUAAGUUGCAGGGUAUAGACCCGAAACCCGGUGAUCUAGCCAUGGGCAGGUUGAAGGUUGGGUAACACUAACUGGAGGACCGAACCGACUAAUGUUGAAAAAUUAGCGGAUGACUUGUGGCUGGGGGUGAAAGGCCAAUCAAACCGGGAGAUAGCUGGUUCUCCCCGAAAGCUAUUUAGGUAGCGCCUCGUGAAUUCAUCUCCGGGGGUAGAGCACUGUUUCGGCAAGGGGGUCAUCCCGACUUACCAACCCGAUGCAAACUGCGAAUACCGGAGAAUGUUAUCACGGGAGACACACGGCGGGUGCUAACGUCCGUCGUGAAGAGGGAAACAACCCAGACCGCCAGCUAAGGUCCCAAAGUCAUGGUUAAGUGGGAAACGAUGUGGGAAGGCCCAGACAGCCAGGAUGUUGGCUUAGAAGCAGCCAUCAUUUAAAGAAAGCGUAAUAGCUCACUGGUCGAGUCGGCCUGCGCGGAAGAUGUAACGGGGCUAAACCAUGCACCGAAGCUGCGGCAGCGACACUAUGUGUUGUUGGGUAGGGGAGCGUUCUGUAAGCCUGUGAAGGUGUACUGUGAGGUAUGCUGGAGGUAUCAGAAGUGCGAAUGCUGACAUAAGUAACGAUAAAGCGGGUGAAAAGCCCGCUCGCCGGAAGACCAAGGGUUCCUGUCCAACGUUAAUCGGGGCAGGGUGAGUCGACCCCUAAGGCGAGGCCGAAAGGCGUAGUCGAUGGGAAACAGGUUAAUAUUCCUGUACUUGGUGUUACUGCGAAGGGGGGACGGAGAAGGCUAUGUUGGCCGGGCGACGGUUGUCCCGGUUUAAGCGUGUAGGCUGGUUUUCCAGGCAAAUCCGGAAAAUCAAGGCUGAGGCGUGAUGACGAGGCACUACGGUGCUGAAGCAACAAAUGCCCUGCUUCCAGGAAAAGCCUCUAAGCAUCAGGUAACAUCAAAUCGUACCCCAAACCGACACAGGUGGUCAGGUAGAGAAUACCAAGGCGCUUGAGAGAACUCGGGUGAAGGAACUAGGCAAAAUGGUGCCGUAACUUCGGGAGAAGGCACGCUGAUAUGUAGGUGAAGUCCCUCGCGGAUGGAGCUGAAAUCAGUCGAAGAUACCAGCUGGCUGCAACUGUUUAUUAAAAACACAGCACUGUGCAAACACGAAAGUGGACGUAUACGGUGUGACGCCUGCCCGGUGCCGGAAGGUUAAUUGAUGGGGUUAGCGCAAGCGAAGCUCUUGAUCGAAGCCCCGGUAAACGGCGGCCGUAACUAUAACGGUCCUAAGGUAGCGAAAUUCCUUGUCGGGUAAGUUCCGACCUGCACGAAUGGCGUAAUGAUGGCCAGGCUGUCUCCACCCGAGACUCAGUGAAAUUGAACUCGCUGUGAAGAUGCAGUGUACCCGCGGCAAGACGGAAAGACCCCGUGAACCUUUACUAUAGCUUGACACUGAACAUUGAGCCUUGAUGUGUAGGAUAGGUGGGAGGCUUUGAAGUGUGGACGCCAGUCUGCAUGGAGCCGGCCUUGAAAUACCACCCUUUAAUGUUUGAUGUUCUAACGUUGACCCGUGAUCCGGGUUGCGGACAGUGUCUGGUGGGUAGUUUGACUGGGGCGGUCUCCUCCUAAAGAGUAACGGAGGAGCACGAAGGUUGGCUAAUCCUGGUCGGACAUCAGGAGGUUAGUGCAAUGGCAUAAGCCAGCUUGACUGCGAGCGUGACGGCGCGAGCAGGUGCGAAAGCAGGUCAUAGUGAUCCGGUGGUUCUGAAUGGAAGGGCCAUCGCUCAACGGAUAAAAGGUACUCCGGGGAUAACAGGCUGAUACCGCCCAAGAGUUCAUAUCGACGGCGGUGUUUGGCACCUCGAUGUCGGCUCAUCACAUCCUGGGGCUGAAGUAGGUCCCAAGGGUAUGGCUGUUCGCCAUUUAAAGUGGUACGCGAGCUGGGUUUAGAACGUCGUGAGACAGUUCGGUCCCUAUCUGCCGUGGGCGCUGGAGAACUGAGGGGGGCUGCUCCUAGUACGAGAGGACCGGAGUGGACGCAUCACUGGUGUUCGGGUUGUCAUGCCAAUGGCACUGCCCGGUAGCUAAAUGCGGAAGAGAUAAGUGCUGAAAGCAUCUAAGCACGAAACUUGCCCCGAGAUGAGUUCUCCCUGACUCCUUGAGAGUCCUGAAGGAACGUUGAAGACGACGACGUUGAUAGGCCGGGUGUGUAAGCGCAGCGAUGCGUUGAGCUAACCGGUACUAAUGAACCGUGAGGCUUAACCUU
rnacentral:rRNA from 1 species